ACCCACAGGGUUUUGGGAACCGGAGGCAGGCGGACAGCCCCAGGAGUCAUAAUGAGAAGAAAUGCUACCUCGGUACAGUGGACGAACGUGCAAACCACACAGAAAGUUUGAAAAAGGUCUACUGGAGGCUCUGCUUUCUGUCUCACAGUGAGAGGUGUGUAAAGCAUGAGGUGACCUUGGGCAAGUUGUUCAACCUCAGUGUUAUCACCUGUAGAACGGAGAAAACAAGACUACAUACUUUGGAGGUGAGGACGCUGUAGGAAGGCAUCUGCGAAGCGGAGAGUGCACCUUUACCAGACGCGGAGUCUGCUGGCGUCUUGAUCUCGGACUUUGCAGCUUCCAGAACCGAAAGUCAAGUGAUGUGGUCAUGCUUUUAGUAAAUAAACUGGAAUUGUGGUUUUAACACUCUGCUGACCUGGGAUUGUGGUGCUGCUGCUAGAGCUACUGUCAUCCACGGGCCCAAAGAAAUCAAGGUUCAGAAGAGUGGAACCUCCACUAGCUUGAAAUUCAGUGACCGUGUUGGUAGGCAGCCACACAGAAGGUAAGCCAAGGGAGGAGGGGUUAUGUGUAAAAAGGGGUAAGACACACACUUGAACAUGCAGGUUAUAAUUAGUAAUCAUUACACAUUUUAAAAAUCAACAUUAAAACAAUGUGUACAGUAUUAGUUUUUCAUUACUAAGGACAUUUCUAAAAUAACAAUUUAAUUCAAUGUACAUUUUCUCAUGUACAAUGUAAAGAAUGUAACACUUAGUAAGGUUUUAGGAGUUCAGUUGCUUCAAUCAAAACUGGAAGCCAUACCAGAAAGACCGAAAGGAAUGCGUACCCGUUAAAGGGAAACAAUACUUUAAUCUCAACCCAACAUUAGAAAUCACUGUACAUGCCCAAAUCAAUCUUUCAUGUUAGUAAUAUUGGUUUCUAAUUAAUGCUUUUUAAAAAGUGACAAAGUUGUCAGUUUCAGGACACGCACCAAUGUGUUAACUUAGUUUAAAAUAAAAUAACAUAAUAAAGAAUGUCAUAACUACCCUACCCUGAUGUGCAACCUCAAGCUGUACUGUUCCCCUUUAACUCUGAAACAGUAAUCAGAAAUAGUAUACAUUUUUAAAGAAGUUGUUUGUUAAUAAAAAGCAUGAUGAUUUGACUGAAGACACCAGACAACAGCAAAAAGUGCAUCCAGGCUUUCCUUCAGCACUAUAUUAAUUCAAUUGGAUGCUUUCCAGAUAUCCUAGGACCCCACUAUAAGGCCAAGCUGAUAGUGUUUUUUUACAAUGGCAAAAUAAUUGCCAUUUAGACAAUGAUAGGUGUUUAGACAAUGGCUCGAACAACUUAAGCACAAGGAGUAAGAGCAAUUACAUCUUGGGAUCCACUUAAAACUUGUGGUGUCAAUACUAGAAACUAGCAUUGGUGUGUUACUUAUUUUAAAGAGCCCACAUUACAUUACUGAAAUAAGUUAUUCCUUUUUGAGGAUUUUCUUUUAAAGCCAUAAGUGAAACCAAUUAUUUUUAGAACUGCCUACUAACAUUUGGAGACACGCUUUAGAAAAGGAUUGUGAAAUUUAUUUUCUAUUUGCAUAUAGGUGCUCUAUAAAAUAUUAAAUCUAAAAACUACUUUGAGUCAAUAAACAUGGAUCUAUGCACGCUGUUUUUGGCUAAAUAAUUGUGCUUUGUGCUCUGAAGCAGCCUCUAGUCACAAGACUUUGCAUCCAAGAAAAUUCCAUAAAUUAAAACUUAC